GACGAACGCUGGCGGCGUGCCUAAUACAUGCAAGUAGGACGCAGUUGCGAACGGGUGAGUAACGCGUAGGUAACUACCUAUUAGAGGGGGAUAACUAUUGGAAACGAUAGCUAAUACCGCAUACUAGUAGAUGGACCUGCUUUGUAUUAGCUAGUAGGUAGGGUAAUGGCCUACCUAGGCAACGAUACAUAACCGAACCGAGGAGGGUAGUUGGCACACUGGGAAUGGGACACGGCCAAGACUCUACUGGGGGCAGUCAGUGGGAAUCGUCGGCAAAGGGGGGAACCCUGACCGAGCAACGCCGCGUGAGUGAAGAAGGUUUUCGGGUCGUAAAGCUCUGUUGUUAAGGAAGCGGUACUUAACCAGAAAGGGACGGCUAACUACGUGCCAGCCGCCGCGGUAAUAC
rnacentral:rRNA from 1 species